GCCCGGCGUGGUGAUGGGCGCCUGUAAUCCCAGCUACUGGGAGGCUGAGGCAGGAGAAUUGCUUGAACCCGGGACGCAGAGGUUGCAGUGAGCCGAGAUCGUGCCACUGCACUCCACCCUGGGUGACAGAGCAAGAUUCUGUCUCAA
ensembl:misc_RNA Metazoa_SRP Metazoan signal recognition particle RNA